rnacentral:rRNA from 1 species
GAUGAACGCUAGCGGCAGGCUUAAUACAUGCAAGUCGAGGGGUAGCAUGAUUGUAGCAAUACAGUUGAUGACGACCGGCAAACGGGUGCGGAACACGUACACAACCUUCCUACAAGUGGGGAAUAGCCCAGAGAAAUUUGGAUUAAUACCCCGUAACAUAGCGAUGUGGCAUCACAUUGCUAUUAUAGCUUCGGCGCUUGUUGAUGGGUGUGCGGCUGAUUAGAUAGUUGGCGGGGUAACGGCCCACCAAGUCUACGAUCAGUAGCUGAUGUGAGAGCAUGAUCAGCCACACGGGCACUGAGACACGGGCCCGACUCCUACGGGAGGCAGCAGUAAGGAAUAUUGGACAAUGGACGCAAGUCUGAUCCAGCCAUGCCGCGUGAAGGAUUAAGGUCCUCUGGAUUGUAAACUUCUUUUAUAAGGGACGAAAAAAGGUCUUUCUAGAUCGUCUGACGGUACCCUAUGAAUAAGCACCGGCUAACUCCGUG